rnacentral:tRNA from 1 species
UCCCUUGUGGCUUAGCUGGUAAAGAAUCCACCUGCAAUGUGGGAGACCUGGGUUUGAUCCCUGGUUUGGGAA